rnacentral:rRNA from 1 species
UACGAGGGGGGCAAGCGUUGUUCGGAAUUAUUGGGCGUAAAGGGCGCGUAGGCGGUGCGGUAAGUCACCUGUGAAACCUCUAGGCUCAACCUAGAGCCUGCAGGCGAAACUGCCGUGCUUGAGGGUGGGAGAGGUGCGUGGAAUUCCUGGUGUAGCGGUGAAAUGCGCAGAUAUCAGGAAGAACACCCGUGGCGAAGGCGGCUCUCUGGGACGGUACUGACGCUGAGACGCGAAAGCGUGGGGAGCAAACAGG